GUGGGGAAUAUUGGACAAUGGGCGAAAGCCUGAUCCAGCCAUGCCGCGUGUGUGAAGAAGGUCUUCGGAUUGUAAAGCACUUUAAGUUGGGAGGAAGGGCAGUAAGUUAAUACCUUGCUGUUUUGACGUUACCGACAGAAUAAGCACCGGCUAACUUCGUGCCAGCAGCCGCGGUAAUACGAAGGGUGCAAGCGUUAAUCGGAAUUACUGGGCGUAAAGCGCGCGUAGGUGGUUUUGUAAGUUGGAGGUGAAAUCCCCGGGCUCAACCUGGGAAAUGCAUCCAAAACUGCAUGACUAGAGUACGGUAGAGGGUAGUGGAAUUUCCUGUGUAGCGGUGAAAUGCGUAGAUAUAGGAAGGAACACCAGUGGCGAAGGCGACUACCUGGACUGAUACUGACACUGAGGUGCGAAAGCGUGGGGAGCAAACAGGAUUAGAAACCCGAGUAGUCC
rnacentral:rRNA from 1 species